AAUCAACGCUGGCGGCGUGCCUCAGACAUGCAAGUCGAACGAUUAAAGCUCUCUUCGGAGAGUGCAUAAAGUGGCGCACGGGUGAGUAACACGUAAGUAAUCUACCUUCGAGUGGGGAAUAACGUCCGGAAACGGACGCUAAUACCGCAUAACGCAGCGGCAUCGCAAGAUGACAGUUGUUAAAGAUUUAUCGCUUGAAGAGGAGCUUGCGGCAGANAGCUUGUUGGUAAGGUAACGGCUUACCAAGGCUACGAUCUGUAUCCGGUCUAAGAGGACGGUCGGACACACUGACACUG
rnacentral:rRNA from 1 species